UAAAAGAAAAAUUGCCACUACAAUUUGGUGUCAGAAGUGGGAUGUCUUGGAGAAACUUUUCCGGACCCUGCGGACGGUGACUGAUCAUCCUGAAACUUCGUGUCACAGCCCUGCCCCACUCGGUUGAGGGUUGAGGGGCCGACCGCCGGGCUCGGAGAGGAACCCCACUGACAUCUGGGAAAAAGAACUCAAGUGGCAUCUGAACUCUCUGGUAAAGGCCGCACAGGGGAAGGCUGCAGAGAAACCACUGCACAGUUUGAGGCCUGGCGAUUUCGUGGUAGUUCGAGAUCUAAGGAGAAAGAGCUGGAGAGCGAAGCGUUGGUUGGGUCCAUUCCAAGUGCUACUGACCACGGAAACAGCGGUGAAAGUCGCAGAGCGGGCAACGUGGGUGCAUGCUGGACACUGCAGGAAGAUCCCAUCACCUGAAGAGGAAACAGCUAAGGAGUAGGAGAGAAAGGGAGGCUCUGAAACUGUCUGAGAGAAAACAGCAGGCUGUUAUCUGAGUGAAGCAAGGACACAGCUGCGGAGAAACAACAACAUAAGUCAAGAGAUGUGUGUGAGACAGUAACUCCUGAGUUCAACACCAACACAGGCACAGAGCAACGAAAGAGAAGAGUGUAAAUGUGAUCUAUGUUUAAGAGUAUAGUAACAACAACGUGUUCAUAUGUUGUAAAUGUUAUUAAUGAUGAAUUAAUGAUGUAGAGUAUUAGUGAUUUCUAACUGAUUGAAGAAAUGUUUUGCAGGAUUUAUUAGGUGUAUGAAACAAUAAUAAUGUAAAAUUAACAGGCAAAUUCUGUGAUUUGAACCUCUGUGGGUGACUGAGGGUCUGAUUUCAGUCAGGAGCGCAAUAACAGUGAUUAUUCGUUUAGCCCGGCUCCCAGGGAAGAGGGAUGUUUUGGAAAGUAAAUCUUAAUGGGGAAACUAUAUUAAGAAGAAUGUUUGAACAUCUCUAGUGUAUAUGAUGUGUGCAGAAACCUGUUAAAUGAUUAACAACAUGAUUAUAAACAGUAUGAUUUUAGAAACUAACAGAAAAUGAAUUUAGUGUUGUGUUAUCAAUGAAUGAUAAAAAGAGAGGAAUUGUAAUGGAAAUUCAUUUAUAUUCACCUUUUAGAUGUGAAUGCAUUUUCUACAUUGCUCAAUUUUACUGUGCAUGACUACUCUGUUUUUUUUAAUCUUACACUCCUAUUGUGUAAUGUUGUUUGUUUCCUUGUUUUGUAAGGGGCAUGGGUCAGAAAGGUUGAGACACCUAACGUAAACAUGAUAUGGCCUGAUUAGAAGACAAACCUGAAGCAGUAAACAAGAAUCCAAAUACAGGGGAAAGAUAACUAUAAUCCAUGAUGCAUGUGCCUAGCGCAUGACUUUAGUGACCUCGUAAGCAGUACAGGGGAGAAACCAGAUAAAAGAGAGAGCACACUCUGUUUUCAGUGUCUCACUCUGCAGAAACUGUCGUUGCUGUAUGAUUGUGACCUUCUUUGCAAAGAAUAAAACUUUAAAAGACA